UAAGCAUUUGUAUUAUCUGGUAAACAGUUAAAACUACUAAAACACCAAGUACAUACUUACUUGUUAUAAAAUUCUCAAAGGCUUCUCUGAAUUUCAUUUCUUCAACUCCUUUUAUUGCUUUAUUCCAAUUUCCUUAUUGGUCGGAACCUACAGGGCUUUAUGUGUUGUUGAGUUGGUACUUUCUUGGGAUUAAUCCCAAUUCAAGUCCAACCAACUCGCUAACAAGUUAGCUAACACAUAGCCCAUUCCAACCAAUAAGUUUUCUCGGCAUAAAUGCAUGUUCUAUAAGUGCAUACCUCUAUCUCGUUUUUGAUUCUUUUGUUGUUCUUGUUGCUGUUCCUGUUCUGAAUAUAAUUCUGGAUUCAUUUUUUUAUCUAAGUUUCCUGCUAAACCAUUUAGUUUUGGUUCAUCUUCUGUUAACUUAUUAACUCUUUCCGCAAAGGUAUUUCUUCCUAAAACUCGUUCUAACUCUUUUAGUAAGAUUUUUAA
rnacentral:sRNA from 1 species